GAUGAACGCUGGCGGAAUGCUUUACACAUGCAAGUCGAACGGCAGCACGGACUUCGGUCUGGUGGCGAGUGGCGAACGGGUGAGUAAUAUAUCGGAACGUGCCCAGUCGUGGGGGAUAACGUAGUGAAAAUUACGCUAAUACCGCAUACGAUCUACGGAUGAAAGCGGGGGAUCGCAAGACCUCGCGCGAUUGGAGCGGCCGAUAUCAGAUUAGGUAGUUGGUGAGGUAAAGGCUCACCAAGCCGACGAUCUGUAGCUGGUCUGAGAGGACGACCAGCCACACUGGGACUGAGACACGGCCCAGACUCCUACGGGAGGCAGCAGUGGGGAAUUUUGGACAAUGGACGCAAGUCUGAUCCAGCCAUUCCGCGUGCAGGACGAAGGCCUUCGGGUUGUAAACUGCUUUUGUACAGAACGAAAAGGUCUCUAUUAAUACUGGGGGCUCAUGACGGUACUGUAAGAAUAAGCACCGGCUAACUACGUGCCAGCCGCCGCGGUAA
rnacentral:rRNA from 1 species